AGAAGGUAAGAAGGAGGGGGCAAAGCAAAUUACAUUUUAAUUCUGUGUGUUUUUCCCUCACUCUGUCACACAAACCCUCUAACCUUGUCUCACCAGCCCCCACAACUCUAUCUCACUAGCCUUCCAACCCUAUCUCACUAGCCCUCAGCCCUGUCUAACUAGCCCCCCCCAGCCCUGUCUUACUAACCCUGUCACACUAACC